UACGAAGGGGGCUAGCGUUGCUCGGAAUCACUGGGCGUAAAGCGCACGUAGGCGGAUUGCUAAGUCAGGGGUGAAAUCCUGGAGCUCAACUCCAGAACUGCCUUUGAUACUGGCGAUCUUGAGUCCGGGAGAGGUGAGUGGAACUCCGAGUGUAGAGGUGAAAUUCGUAGAUAUUCGGAAGAACACCAGUGGCGAAGGCGGCUCACUGGCCCGGUACUGACGCUGAGGAGCGAAAGCGUGGGUAGCAAACAGG
rnacentral:rRNA from 1 species